rnacentral:lncRNA from 1 species
AAGACAUACAACGUCCGUUACAGGUUAAAAUGUGACGUUGUAUAUCUAAACAACGUCGUCAUCAACAUAAUAAUCGACGGUGUAAAUUCUACCCACGUCGGUUAUUCAGAAAAAGUGGACGUUGUAACUUACUAACCACGGCUAUGAGUACAUUGUGACGGCUAAUGUUUUCUAGGAUGACGUCAUGUGUUAUUUAACGUCAUUGUAAACGGAUGCAACGUCGGUUAUGUACAUUUUUCAUUUAAUUUUUGUAUGACUUUUACAUUUUAUUCCUAAUAUUAAUAAUAAUUUCAAAACAAAUUCCAUAAAAUAAACUGAC